rnacentral:lncRNA from 1 species
UUUCGAAUCAUUCUGUGGCAUUUCUGUUCCUCUUUUUUUUUUUUUUAAGGACUUGAGGACUUGUUCCAAGAAUUAAGAAAAAAAAAGAAAGAAAAGAGAGAAAAACCCCCAAACUUCAAGCCAUGUGGAUUUGUUUUCCAGGUGUUUUCACAUCCUCAGAGGGAUGAUGGUUGAAAGCAAAACUCAAGCUGAUACCUGCAGCAGAAAAAAACAAACCAGUGGACACAUUCCUGAAUCCAUGAUUCUUUCAUCCUUCAGGGGCUCCCGACCCGUGCAAUUCGAAUCAUCUCUGAUUUAUAGAGGAGGAAACCGAAGCUCAGAAAAAGUAAGUUACUUGUCCAGGAGCAGUUAUCUGGGAUCUGAAUUUGGGUCAGCCUGUCUUCAGAGUCCAAGCCCUUAACCUCUUCAUGACUAUA